rnacentral:rRNA from 1 species
GCAUAUCAAUAAGCGGAGGAAAAGAAACCAACAGGGAUGGCCCCAGUAACGGCGAGUGAAGCGGCAACAGCUCAAAUUUGAAAUCUGGCCCCCCGGGCCCGAGUUGUAAUUUGUAGAGGAUGCUUUUGGCAAGGUGCCGCCCGAGUUCCCUGGAACGGGACGCCGCAGAGGGUGAGAGCCCCGUCUGGCUGGCCACCGAGCCUCUGUAAAGCUCCUUCGACGAGUCGAGUAGUUUGGGAAUGCUGCUCAAAAUGGGAGGUAUAUGUCUUCUAAAGCUAAAUAUUGGCCAGAGACCGAUAGCGCACAAGUAGAGUGAUCGAAAGAUGAAAAGCACUUUGAAAAGAGGGUUAAACAGUACGUGAAAUUGUUGAAAGGGAAGCGCUCAUGACCAGACUUGGGCUUGGCGGAUCAUCCGGCGUUCUCGCCGGUGCACUCCGCCUCGUCCAGGCCAGCAUCAGCUCGCGCCGGGGGACAAAGGCUUCGGGAAUGUGGCUCCUCCGGGAGUGUUAUAGCCCGUUGCGUAAUACCCUGGGGCGGGCUGAGGUUCGCGCAUCUGCAAGGAUGCUGGCGUAAUGGUCAUCAGCGACCCGUCUUGAACCACGGA